GAUUGGAGUCGGCAGCAGGAGCGGCGGUUCUUAACCAAUUGUCUGAGCAGUUCGGAUUCUUCGAAGCAACGACAUAAAGGAAUUUGGUUAGAGUUUUUAUACUUCUCUAAUUUGGUCUUCUCGGUUUUACGAAAAGCUUUUUCGGUAUUUUCUUAGAGUUUUCGUUGGAACAAGAAAGGUGGGAUUCACCAUAAGGUUCUUGGUUUUUUUUAUCCGGAGAAGACAUAAGGUAUAAGCUUGUACUUCUAUUUCUUCAUAUAGUGGAAUACAUCUCUCUCGCUCUCCCCGUGGACGUAGGCAAUUGCCGAACUACGUAAAUCUUGGUUUCUUCUUUCUGCAUUUAUUUCUUUUACCGUUCGGUCGAUUUUCUCUAUUUUUCGUGCAUCCUUGUUGGUAGCACAUGACGGACGAUCCAUCCGGUUCCCAACAAAUAAUAUGUGAAUAUUUAAAAAUAUUAGAACUUUUAUGGGAAUAAAUUUUUCAUUGUAUUGUAGUA
rnacentral:lncRNA from 1 species